UUUGAUGGUGACCGGCGCACGGGUGAGUAACACGUAUCCAACCUGCCGAUGACUCGGGGAUAGCCUUUCGAAAGAAAGAUUAAUACCCGAUGGCAUAGUUCUUCCGCAUGGUAGAACUAUUAAAGAAUUUCGGUCAUCGAUGGGGAUGCGUUCCAUUAGGUUGUUGGCGGGGUAACGGCCCACCAAGCCUUCGAUGGAUAGGGGUUCUGAGAGGAAGGUCCCCCACAUUGGAACUGAGACACGGUCCAA
rnacentral:rRNA from 1 species